rnacentral:rRNA from 1 species
UACAGAGGGUGCAAGCGUUAAUCGGAGUGACUGGGCGUAAAGGGCGUGUAGGUGGGUAGAUAAGUCAUGUGUGAAAUUUCUGGGCUUAACCUGGAAAGGUCAUGUGAUACUGUCUAUCUAGAGUAGAUCAGAGGAAAGCAGAAUUUCCGGUGUAGCGGUGAAAUGCGUAGAGAUCGGAAGGAAUACCAGUGGCGAAGGCGGCUUUCUGGGCUCAUACUGACACUGAGGCGCGAAAGCGUGGGGAGCAAACAGG